GGGGACUUGGCCAACAAUGGCAUUUAUUCCAGUUCAGAGGCUUCAUGAGGAAGGAGGAGAGGAAGCCACUGAUGUACAUCACCAGUGGGAUGGUGGCAAUGUAUUUCUGUGAGAGACAAGCACAGGGAGAGGAUCAGCUCCGGACCACCGGGCACAGGACCCCUGUCCAGGCAACCUCAAGCCUGAUCCUGCCAGAUAAGCAUGAGUUGCAUGCAUUGUCCCGGGGCCACUGCCAGCACAGGGCAGUGCCUCAGCCCUGCAUCACCUGGGGACACAUCCCUCCUCUGGGAGCAUCACCCUCCAGUCCCACAGUGGCUCAUCACUACAGCACAGUGACUGCUGUGUCACCUGCAUCCCCGGCACCACAGCCUUGCUCUGUGGCACCAAAAGGUUUAGGCCAGGAAGAUGCAUGUCACCUGAAAGCUGUCAGUUCCACCUUCUCAUGGUCACUGGUCACCAGCUCAGGGAUAAGGGAGAGGUGGGAGAUCUGCGUGGCCGCCCAGCCGAACUGGAAGAUGACGAUGAAGGGGAGGUAGUAGAUGAAGGCUGCCCACUGUGGAGUGCCCUCCUUGCAGCCCAGGCAGGGGUUGAAGAUGAAGGGGAAGGAGAUGAGGACGCAGGUGGUACCUGGGAAGAGAGAAGGGGAGCAGUGAGCUUCUCUAGGAACACACGGAUGCAGCUGCUCAGCCAGGUCCUGCCCUGGGGCUGGGGAGCAAAGUCAGCUCCUCCUGGAUGCAGAUAACCACCCAAGGACACACGCCACCCCACCGCCUGCCCCAGGGCGAUAAGGCGCCAGGACGGCUCUGCAGGCACAAGGCCACUCCGUGUCCCCUCAUCCCUCCUCCCGCAGGGCUGGAGCCAUGAGAGUGAUGUCCAGGAGUAUCUCCGGCACACAGAACAGGAAUGGAUCUGUCCCCACGCCAGCAUCAGACGCUACAGCUGUGCUGGGAAGGUCCCAGCUGAGUCAGUGACACCAGAGCCAGGUACUGUCCCCUCUGCAAGCAAUGGGGAUGCCGGCAUGGGGCAGGCAAGGACGAGCUGGCUUCUCCACAAAGUUGCUGAUCAAAUCCACCAAGAACUGAGGCUCAGGUGCAGCGCCUCGUCCUGCGUGUCCUUAGCUUCACCCUCCCUGCAGUCCUGCUGCUGCAGCCACCCCCACAGAGCCAGGCUCCUCCAGCACAGCCAUGUCCCCAUGCAGCACAGUCACAGAGCAGUGCUGGGGGCUCUGCUCCUCCCAGCAGGACCACCA
rnacentral:lncRNA from 1 species